AUAGGGCCAUGAAAGAAGAAUGUUAAAAGGUGUUUCAUGUAUAAUGAAAUCCCCCUGGAAAUAAUAUCAGAUGAACUAAGGGACUAUGUAAAUCAACUUUCACCUGAUGUGCAUUGCCUUAUUUUUAAUUACCUCCUUCUGUAGGAUAUCAUGUGUAUGGAAUGUUUUCAGAAAGCUAAAGAAAGCAAUGUCCUUGUAUCUGAGAGUUGUGAAGGUUGUGGGUCCUGUGCAGAGUGGUGGUGAAAAUACAUCCCAAGUGGCUUUACAGAUUUCCAGUUUUCCAACACUUUAAUAAGAUGUCAGACAUCAAACAACUACAUGGCCUUCACCCUAGAUACCUUGAGAGGUGGAGAGUACAAGACCAUGAGACAUUUAGCAUUCUAGGAGUCCUAGAAGCUUUGCAAGCAUAUCCAAAGUUACUAGAUGUGGAAACCUCUCAUUUGUAGUUGGCAGAGUCCAUUUGGACAAAUAUGGCACAUGUUCUGUAGGUUACCUACAGCAUAACCUACUGCCGCUGUGGGUUAUAUUUUAGGGAAAUUCUUGUAAUGAAUGAUGAAUCAUUUCUGACUCCUCCUGAAAAUAAACUGAAAAUUUCUAUGAGAUCCAGAAUAAAAACUUCAUGUUUAGUAGGGGUAAAUGUUCCUGAAAUUCUUUAUAGUUCAACCCUCAGACACCUCUAUUUGGAGUAGUUAAAAGUUACUAAACCACUGCUGUUUAAAAGCUUUCUGUGCAUCAGCUUAAGAUCUUUCAUCAUGAGGAAAUGUAAAGGACCCUUAAAUUCCUGAAAAUACAUCUUUUUAGUAACAUAUUUAGCCUCUUCCUGAAACUAGGAACACCUAGAAAUGGUUCCAGUUCCUUUCAUUGUAGGUCUCAUCUGAUAUGUAAUUGGAGGCAGUUAGAGAUCACAUGAUUUUAGAAAUUUGUGCAGUAUUGUUUGGGGAGUUUGCAAAAAUGCUCUUAAAAAAGAUCUUAGUUCUUCACCCUCACUGCCCUGUAGCUUACAUAAAGUUUGAAUCCAGCAUUCCUGAACCAACAGUUAUGUCUUUUUUUUUCAUUAAGAUGUCAGAGUUGAAGUUCUACAAGUGUGAAACCCACCAUCUGGGAUAUGUAGAUGAGUGAGCUGCAGAGCAGAAUGGCUGAUGCAGAUCUGGUAAAGUAUGGUUUGACUGAUGUGGUAGAAUAUCCUGGUAUCAUCAUCAUUAUAGGAAUAAAGGUAAUCAAUGAAGUUUUUCCUAUAUCAAAUAUCUGUAAUUUAUAACUGUCUUAUCUAUAUAAACCAUACUAUUGGAUCUCAGACCACUCGAGAUGGAAUUGAUUGGUUAAUAUCAGCCUAGUUCAGUGCCAUAUACUGAAGCCUGAUUCCUUCGGCCAGUUUAUUGAAUUGUUGCCCAGUUGGAGUUUAUUUGACUGGACUAUAUUGUUUCGUCAACCACUCAAGGGCUAUACUUGAGUUUGCUUUAGUGCAGGCAUAGGAAUUUGGGUUUCCUUGGCCCUUGUUAGCAAAUAGAUCUCCAAGAGUAACAACGAUAAUAAUGCCCAGAAUAAUAAUGCCAACAUCCCAAGACAACAAUUGCCAUCACAAAGAUAACUCAAAUGAGGACAAUGACUUUCAGCAAGACCUGCAACCAGGACAGCAGCAGUUUGCACCUGACACGUUGAAUGAGAUGGAAGACAAGUGCAAGAAGAUGGAGAGGUGGUGGCUGAGAGUGGAAGUAAUACUCCAGCUAAUAGGCAAUUAUUUUUGUGAAUACUAAUGAGAAAUAAGCAGGACCCAGUAGUCUUCAGUAUGGAGUAAAACCAACAUCAGUUACUGUUCAUUAUUCAGAGUGAUGAUGAAAAAGACAACCUAGAACUUCAAGAAGUCUGGACUCUUAAGAAGGGUGCUUGUCAAUUACUCUGAGCUUAAAUUACAAAUCAGAGAGUCAGUAUAGUCCAUAGCAUUGUCAGACGUUGCCAAAACAAAGUCACACCAUGCCAUGAAGCCGAAGUAGAUGGCAGAUAACCCCAUCAGUGUCAGUGAUCCUGUGAUAAAGGGUGACCAUGUGCAUGUCUUUGUAUUAAAAUCCAAAAAUCUUGUGGAAAUAAUUAUGACAAACUAUGAAGUCACAGAUCUAGUGCUGAAAAACUGUUUCAAGAUGAGAUUCAUUCAUAUUAUGAGGCACAAGUUACUGAAACAUCUAAAAAUAGAAAAUGCACAAAUUGUAAAUUAAUUUGACUAUGUACAAUACAAAAAACUAAAUAUGGAUUACACAUUAGACUAGAUACUAAGGAUGCCUCCUGAAAGAAAUCAUAUCAUAUACCUAUGCCCAAUGUAGCAGGUAAACGCACUACCUUUGGAGCAGAAGUUAUUCAGUGGUCUCUACCCCUGUCUAUCAUAUCUGUAUUAUCCAUGAAUUCAGUAACCCUCCCAAUAUCUGGAACAAAGAGUGGAUUUGCAGCUGAAUAGACACAAUAGAAAACAUCAAUCAAGCAUUUGUUAAGUAUGAACACUUCCAUGAAGCCACUUAAAAUGAAGAUCACUUCCCUUUCACUGCUCCUGAGUACCCCUGGGAAUGAAAAAUGUAUAUUUAGAAAGUGCUGUGGUUGGAGCUUCCUGGCUGAGGUCACUAUAGCUGCAGAGUCCAACAGCUUUGCCUAUAUGAAUUUGAAAAUAGUGAAGCGAACACCGUCCAUGCUCCUUGAAGGAAACUAUCUGUAGAUUUUUGUAUUAAAAUAAUAGAAGAAGAAAUUCCUAAGACCCAGCCCAUGAAAAUGGUCAUGAGCAAGUGGUGGCAAUUUGCAUCCAAUAUUGUGUUAAUGCAGAGCCAAUUGAAAUGACUACAUUUGA
rnacentral:lncRNA from 1 species